rnacentral:rRNA from 1 species
UACGUAGGGAGCAAGCGUUGUCCGGAAUCAUUGGGCGUAAAGCGCGCGUAGGCGGCCUCAUAAGUCCGUUGUGAAAGUCAAAGGCUCAACCUUUGAAAGCCGAUGGAUACUGUGAGGCUAGAGUCCGGAAGAGGCGAGUGGAAUUCCUGGUGUAGCGGUGGAAAUGCGCAGAUAUCAGGAGGAACACCUAUUGCGAAGGCAGCUCGCUGGUACGUGACUGACGCUGAGACGCGAAAGCGUGGGGAGCAAACAGG